UACGUAGGGUGCGAGCGUUGUCCGGAAUUACUGGACGUAAAGAGCUCGUAGGUGGUUUGUCGCGUUGUUCGUGAAAACUCACAACUCAAUUGUGGGCGUGCGGGCGAUACGGGCGGACUGGAGUACUGCAGGGGAGACUGGAAUUCCUGGUGUAGCGGUGAAAUGCGCAGAUAUCAGGAGGAACACCGAUGGCGAAGGCAGCUCGCUGGGACGGUACUGACGCUGAGGCGCGAAAGCGUGGGGAGCAAACAGG
rnacentral:rRNA from 1 species